UCUUGAGUAGCUGGGACUACAGGCGCCUGCCACCACGCCCGGCUAAUUUUUUGUAUUUUUAGUAGAGAUGGAGUUUCACUGUGUUAGCCAGGAUGGUCUCGAUCUCCUGACCUGGUUAUCCGCUCGCCUCCGUGCUGGGAUUACAGGCGUGAACCACCGCACCUGGCCGUAAAUGAAACAGCCUUCUCUAUUUCUCUGGACCAUGUGGUGAAACCACUAGGUGCCUCUGAGUAUCCAUAAUACAGGAGCAUUCAGCACUCAGCAUUCCAGGAGAGAUGAAGUACAUCUUUUGUAACACCAAUUUGAAUUCCCAGGAAGGGGCAGCUGUAUGAAUAAAUCUGAUACAGGUACCCAAGUCUGGACCAAUCAGCUGCAUCCAGGGGUGCAACAACAUAUGGCUUCAGUGUGGUGCCUGCCCAGAGGACAAACAUUUAUGAAAGAAGGGAUGAUUGCUCUGAGAUACCCACACUGACCUACAGUUCUCACUGUGGAUGUGUUAAAUGAAUAAAAAGGAAGUCAUAUUCAGUUCUCCUGUUGUGACUCAUGUAUUCCUCCUGGACAGAAUAUUUUUUUCUACCUGAAUUAUUUUAAGAAAAACAUGUAGAAUUAAUAGAACGGCCAAAUGUAUUUAGGAGUAGAGGAGAUUAUUAGAAUUUUAUCUUUCUUUCAACUUACACUAUUUGUCAUAAGAGUUAGAUGUUUAUGGGCACCAAUCCCACCUCUUCCACUUAGUUUUGCAUGCUUCACAUAUGCUAUUUCCCUCAAUAAAAUAUACCUUUCUCCUCUGUAAAAUGGUGAGAAUAAUUAAUAAUGAGUCAGUAUUAUUGUAUAGAUGAAAUGAUAUAUUUAAUGAACAGUGCUUAAUGUAUGCCUAACAUAUAGCAAGCAUGGUAUUAGUAAUCUAUUAUUACUUUUAUUUUUAUCAGAAAAUUAUCUUACUUUUCUUUUGCCACUAUAGGAAAUUGUCACAAAUUUUAUGUCUUAAAAACGGCACAAAUUCAAUAUCAUCAGAAGGUCAGAAGUCUGAAACUGGUUUCACUGAAUUGGAAUCAAGCUGUCAGCAGGGCUGCACUGCUUCUGGAGGCUUUAAAGGAGAAUCAAUUUCCUUGCGUUUUACAGCUUCUAGAGGCUAGCCACCUGCGUUCCUUGGCUCAUGGUUCUUUCUUUUACUGUCAAAGCCAGCAGUAUAGCAUCUUCAAAUUUCUAUCUCUGACUCUGAUAUCACUGCCUUCCUCUUAUAAGGAUACUUGUGACUAAACUGAGCUCACCUGCGUUACCCAGGAUGAUCUCCCCAUCAAAGAUUCUUAAUCAUUUCUGCCCUGUAAGUUAACGUAUUGAUGGGUAAUGUGGACAUCUUUGAGGAGCUGUUAUUCUGCCCACCACACCGAUAACAUUUCUCCUUCUUCACAUUAAGCCUUGAGUUUACAAAACUUACUCUAUGAAUAUGUCAUUUAGUUCUAAAUCAAUUUUUGGUCUGCAAAUCUAUUUCCUAACUGAAGAGAACAUACUAACUGAAGAGAAAAUAUUAAUAAAGUCAGAUUUAUAGAAUGAAAAAAAUAUAAUUAUUGAUGCUGGCAUUAGACUAUUAUGAAAAUAUUUCUCAUACAUAUAUUCAUGACUAUCUUUUGAUAUUAUGUUCAUACAUUCAAGUCCUG
rnacentral:lncRNA from 1 species